UUCCGGUUGAUCCUGCCGGACCUGACUGCUAUCGGAUUGAUACUAAGCCAUGCGAGUCAUUGUAGCAAUACAAGGCAGACGGCUCAGUAACGCGUAGUCAACCUAACCUAUGGAUGGGAAUAACCUCGGGAAACUGAGAAUAAUGCCCAAUAGAACACUAUGCCUGGAAUGGUUUGUGUUCCAAAUGAUUUAUCGCCGUAGGAUGGGACUGCGGCCUAUCAGUUUGUUGGUGAGGUAAUGGCCCACCAAGACUAUUACAGGUACGGGCUUUGAGAGGAGUAGCCCGGAGAUGGGUACUGAGACACGGACCCAGGCCCUAUGGGGCGCAGCAGGCGAGAAAACUUUGCAAUGUGCGAAAGCACGACAAGGUUAAUCCGAGUGAUUUGUGCUAAGCGAAUCUUUUGUUAGUCCUAGAAACACUAACGAAUAAGGGGUGGGCAAGUUCUGGUGUCAGCCGCCGCGGUAAAACCAGCACCUCAAGUGGUCAGGAUGAUUAUUGGGCCUAAAGCAUCCGUAGCCGGCUCUGUAAGUUUUCGGUUAAAUCUGUAUGCUCAACAUACAGGCUGCCGGGAAUACUGCAGAGCUAGGGAGUGGGAGAGGUAGACGGUACUCGGUAGGAAGGGGUAAAAUCCUUUGAUCUAUUGAUGACCACCUGUGGCGAAGGCGGUCUACCAGAACACGUCCGACGGUGAGGGAUGAAAGCUGGGGGAGCAAACCGGAUUAGAUACCCGGGUAGUCCCAGCUGUAAACUAUGCAAACUCAGUGAUGCAUUGGCUUGUGGCCAAUGCAGUGCUGCAGGGAAG
rnacentral:rRNA from 1 species